AGUAGUCAUAUGCUUGUCUCAAAGAUUAAGCCAUGCAUGUCUAAGUAUAAGCACUUAUACCGUGAAACUGCGAAUGGCUCAUUAAAUCAGUUAUAGUUUAUUUGAUAGUACCUUUACCUGGAUAACUGUGGUAAUUCUAGAGCUAAUACAUGCUAAAAACCUCGACUUCGGAAGGGGUGUAUUUAUUAGAUAAAAAACCAAUGCCCUUCGGGGCUCUUUGGUGAUUCAUAAUAACUURACGAAUCGCAUGGCCUUGCGCCGGCGAUGGUUCAUUCAAAUUUCUGCCCUAUCAACUUUCGAUGGUAAGGUAGUGGCUUACCAUGGUCUCAACGGGUAACGGGGAAUUAGGGUUCUAUUCCGGAGAGGGAGCCUGAGAAACGGCUACCACAUCCAAGGAAGGCAGCAGGCGCGCAAAUUACCCAAUCCCAAUACGGGGAGGUAGUGACAAUAAAUACUGAUACGGGGCUCUUUCGGGUCUCGUAAUUGGAAUGAGUACAAUCUAAAUCCCUUAACGAGGAACAAUUGGAGGGCAAGUCUGGUGCCAGCAGCCGCGGUAAUUCCAGCUCCAAUAGCGUAUAUUAAAGUUGUUGCCGUUAAAAAGCUCGUAGUUGAACCUUGGACCUGGCUGAUCUGUCCUCCUAAUCGAGCGCACGGAUUCGGUCGGGUCUUUCCUUCUGGGGAGCCCCAUGCCCUUCACUGGGUGUGGUGGGGAACCAGGACUUUUACCUUGAAAAAAUUAGAGUGUUCAAAGCAGGCCUUUGCUCGAAUACAUUAGCAUGGAAUAAUAGAAUAGGACAUCGGUUCUAUUUUGUUGGUUUCUAGGACCGCUGUAAUGAUUAAUAGGGAUAGUCGGGGGCGUCAGUAUUCAAUUGUCAGAGGUGAAAUUCUUGGAUUUAUUGAAGACUAACUACUGCGAAAGCAUUCGCCAAGGAUGUUUUCAUUAAUCAGUGAACGAAAGUUAGGGGAUCGAAGACGAUCAGAUACCGUCGUAGUCUUAACCAUAAACUAUGCCGACUAAGGAUCGGACGGUGGUUUUUUUAUGCCCCGUUCGGCACUUUACGAGAAAUCAAAGUUUUUGGGCUCGGGGGGGAGUAUGGUCGCAAGGCUGAAACUUAAAGAAAUUGACGGAAGGGCACCACCAGGCGUAAACCGCAUUAGCUCUGCGCCGAAAAGCAGCCUGACAAAGGUGAAGUGGUUGCAUCCUUAAAUGCUAGUCCGCGUCCGCGGGCGACACCCUCAAAUUGCGGGAAGUUCUUAAAGCCCAAACUA
rnacentral:rRNA from 1 species